UACGUAGGGCGCAAGCGUUAUCCGGAAUUAUUGGGCGUAAAGAGCUCGUAGGCGGUUUGUCGCGUCUGCUGUGAAAUCCCAGGGCUUAACCCUGGGCCUGCAGUGGGUACGGGCAAACUAGAGUGCGGUAGGGGAGAUCGGAAUUCCUGGUGUAGCGGUGAAAUGCGCAGAUAUCAGGAGGAACACCGGUGGCGAAGGCGGAUCUCUGGGCCGUAACUGACGCUGAGGAGCGAAAGCAUGGGUAGCGAACAGG
rnacentral:rRNA from 1 species